CCUACGGGAGGCAGCAGUGAGGAAUAUUGGUCAAUGGGCGCGAGCCUGAACCAGCCAAGUAGCGUGAAGGAUGACUGCCCUACGGGUUGUAAGCUUCUUUUAUAAGGGAAUAAAGUGAGGUACGUGUGCCUUUUUGUCUGUACUUUAUGAAUAAGGAUCGGCUAACUCCGUGCCAGCAGCCGCGGUAAUACGGAGGAUCCGAGCGUUAUCCGGAUUUAUUGGGUUUAAAGGGAGCGUAGAUGGGUUGUUAAGUCAGUUGUGAAAGUUUGCGGCUCAACCGUAAAAUUGCAAUUGAUACUGGCAGCCUUGAGUACAGUUGAGGUAGGCGGAAUUCGUGGUGUAGCGGUGAAAUGCUUAGAUAUCACGAAGAACUCCGAUUGCGAAGGCAGCCUGCUAAACUGCCACUGACAUUGAUGCUCGAAAGUGUGGGUAUCAAACAGGAUUAGAUACCCGGGUAGUC
rnacentral:rRNA from 1 species